AGUGAACGCUGGCGGCAGGCCUAACACAUGCAAGUCGAACGGCAGCACAGUAAGAGCUUGCUCUUACGGGCGGCGAGUGGCGGACGGGUGAGGAAUACAUCGGAAUCUACUUUUUCGGGGGGGAUAACGUAGGGAAACACACGCUAAUACCGCAUACGACCUACGGGGGAAAGCAGGGGAGCUUAGGACCGUGCGCGACUGAAAGAGCAGAAGUCGGAUUGGUGAGUUGGCGGGGUAAGGGCCCACCAAGGCGAAGAUCCGUAGCUGGUCUGAGAGGGUGAUGCGCCCCACUGGAACUGGGCCCCGCCCCAGACUCCUCCGGGGGGAAGCGGUGGGGAAUAUUCGCCAAUGGGCGAAGUCCUGCUCCAGCCCUCCCCCGUAGUUGUAGCAGGCCUUCGGGUUGUAAAGUCCUUUUGUCGGGACAGAAGAGCAUCUGGUUAAUACCGCGAUGUUCUGACGGUACCCGAAGAAUAAGCACCGGCUAACUUCGUG
rnacentral:rRNA from 1 species